rnacentral:lncRNA from 1 species
CCAGCAGUGGCAACCCGCUAGGGUCCCCUUCCACACUGUGGAAGCUUUGUUCUUUCGCUCUUCACAAUAAAUCUUGCUGCUUCUCACUCUUUGUGUCCACACCGCCUUUAAGAGCUGUGACACUCACUGUGAAGGUCUGUGGCUUCACUCCUGAAAUCAGCGAGACCAUGAACCCACCAAGAGGAAUGAACAACUCUGGACGCGCCACCUUUAAGAACUGUAACAUUCACUACGAAGGUCUGCGGAUUCACUCCUGAAGUCAGCGAGACCAUGAACGCACCGGAAGGAAUGAACAGCUCUGGACGUGCCACUUUUAAGAGCUGUAACACUCACUGUGAAGGUCUGCGGCUUCACUCCUGAACUCAGCAAGACCACAAACCCACCAGAAGGAAGAAACUCUGGACACAUCUGAACAUCUGAAGGAACAAACUCUGGACACACCAUCUUUAAGAAUUGUAACACUCACCGCGAGGGUCUGCGGCUUCAUUCUUGAAGUCAGCAAGACCAAGAACCCACUGGAAGGGACCAACUCUAGACACAUUUUGGUGACCCAGAUGGGACUAUUGCCUAUCGCCAAGCAGAUUGAGGCCAUCAAGCUACAGAUGGUCUUACGAAUGGAAUCCCAAAUGAGCUCGACUAACAACUUCUAUAGAGGACCCCUGGACUGACCUGCUGGCCCUUUCACGGCCUAAAGAGUUCCCCUCUGGAGGACACUAUCACUGCAGGGCCCCUUCUUUGCCCCUGUCCAGCAGGAAGUAGCUAGAGUGGUCAUCGGGUAAUUCCCAACAGCAGUUGGGGUGUCCUGUUUAGAGGGGAGAUGGAGAGGUGAAGCCGACUGGGCUUCUGGGUCAGGUGGGGACUUGGGGAAAUUUUCUGUCUAGCUAAAGGAUUGUAAACACACCAGUCAGUGCUCUGUGUCUAGCUAAAAGUUUGUAAAUGUACCAAUCAGCACUCUGUAAAAAUGGACCAAUCAGCACUCUGUAAAAUGGACGAAUCAGUGCUCUGUAAAAUGGAUAAAUCAGCAGGAUGUGGGUGGGGCCAAAUAAGGGAAUAAAAGCUGGCCACCUGAGCCAGCAGCGGCAACCUGCUUGGGUCCCCUUCCACGCUGUGGAAGCUUUGUUCUUUCGCUCUUCGCCGUAAAUCUUGCUGCUGCUCACUCUUUGGGUCUGCACAAACUUUAAGAACUGUAACACUCACUGCGAAGGUCUGCAGCUUCACUCCUGAAGUCAGCAAGACCACGAACCCACCAGAAGGAAGAAACUCCGGACACAUCUGAACAUCUGAAGGAACAAACUCCG